CCGGUAAAAAUUUUUUUCCAAGCGUACUCCGGUUUUUAUUGGCCCCAAGGGGGAGCGCAGACGGUUUUUUAAGUGGGAAUUAAAAAGCCCUCACCCUCAAAAGCGGAAUCGCUUUGGAAAUUGGGGUGAGGUGAGCCCGGUAGAUGAAACUGGAACUCCAUCUGUAGCGGUGAAAUGCGUAGAUAUAUCGAAGCACACCAGUGGCGAUGGCGGCUUUUUGGAUUGUAACAGACGUUGAGGCUCGAAAGUGUGGGUAGCAAACAGGAUUAGAUACCCUGGUAGUCCACACCGUAAAUGAUGAGCGAUAGGUCUUUUAGGGUUUCCGCCCUUAAGUCCCGCAGCAAACGCAUUAAGCACUCCGCCUGGGGAGUAUGACUGCAAGGUUGAAAUUCAAAGGAAGUGACGGGGACCCGCACGAGCGGUGGAGCACGGGUCUUAUUGGAAGCAACGCGAAGAACCUUACCAGGUCUUGACAUCCCUUGACAAUUCCAGAGAUCGAGCAUUCCGUUGCGGGGACAAGGUCUCAGCCGGUACAUGGUUUCUUCCAUGUUUUCUUGCUU
rnacentral:rRNA from 1 species